rnacentral:rRNA from 1 species
AUUGACGCUGGCGGCAGGCCUAACACAUGCAAGUCGAACGAGGGGCGCACGGGUGAGUCAUGUCAGGGAAAUUGCCUUAUGGGGGGGGCUAACUACUGGAAAGGGUACCUAAUACGGCAUACCAUCGAAUGAUCCCAGGUGGGAUUAGCUAGUAGGUGGGGUAAAGGCUUACCAAGGCGACGAUCCCUAGCUGGUCUGAGAGGUGGACCAGCCACACUGGAACUGAGACACGGUCCAGACUCCUACGGGAGGCAGCAGUGGGGAAUAUUGCACAAUGGGCGCAAGCCUGACGCAGCAAUGCCGCGUGUGUGAAGAAGGCUUUCGGGUUGUAAAGUACUUUUAGCGGGGAGGCGGUAUUCGACGAAGAAGCACCGGCUAACUCCGUGCCAGCAGCCGCGGUAAUAC